UUUGAGAAGUUACAGCAUCUACCUCAAGAUCACAUGAGUAGGAAGGAAGCUUCCAGACAGCAGUAGAGUGCCAAACUGAAGAAAAGACUGAUUCAUGGCAAAAGGCGACUGAAAAUAUGAAAAGGAAUGCAGCGUCCACGUCUUCAAAUGUUCCCCAUUUAGUUAAUUUAUCAUUAGAAAAAAACACAAAUAAAACACAGCCAGCUUUGCCUAAUGGA